UGGCCUUCAAUUUAAGAAAAAUAAAACUUUUCUAAAAAAGCUUAAAGGACGCAGUAUCUUGACUGUGGUAAUGUAGCAUAAUCACUCGCCACUUAAUUGGUGGAUAGUAUGAAUGGUUAAACGAAUAUUACACUGUCUCUAAAAGAAAUCCCAUGAAAUUAAAAUAAUAGUAAAGAUGCUAUUUAAAGCUGUAAGACGAAAAGACCCUAUAGAGCUUAACUACAUUAUGUGUUUUAAAAAAUUAAAUAUAAACUUAAAAAAAUACACAUCUUGGUAGUUUAGUUGGGGCGACUGUCUUUUAAAAUAAACAAAGACAAGCAAUGUUAAUAAUAAACUUAUUGUAUAAUAUAUAAAUUUAACAAUUAUAAAAAUAGGCUAUAAUGACCCAUUAGAUUUUAAUAACAAAACUAAUGAUUAAUAAAUAAAAGCUACCUUAGGGAUAACAGGAUAAUUUUGUUUUANAGAUCUAAUCGAAGACAAAGUUUGUCACCUCUAUGUUGAAUUAAGAUAUCCUGAUAGUGCAGAAGCUAUCAAAGGUAGGUCUGUUCGACCUAUAAAAUCUUACAUGAUUUGAGUUCAUUCCCGUA
rnacentral:rRNA from 1 species